rnacentral:rRNA from 1 species
GCCUGAUCCAGCCAUGCCGCGUGUGUGAAGAAGGUCUUCGGAUUGUAAAGCACUUUCAGUUGGGAGGAAGGGUUGUAGCUUAAUACGCUGCUGUUUUGACGUUACCGACAGAAUAAGCACCGGCUAACUCUGUGCCAGCAGCCGCGGUAAUA